rnacentral:lncRNA from 1 species
GGGGAGUCUGAAAUGAAAUCUAGUAGGACCCUACCAUGGAUCCUUCAUACUGUCUUCACGAUUCACGUAGCUGCUUUAUGAGCCAGAGAAAAGAAGGAACAUUGUACCAUUCACCAUAGACAGCUUUCAGUUGCAGGCACCCUGGUAGGACAUUAAUGUUCACACGCCUAUAAUGGCGAGAUAGUCCUCUUAUAGCUCCCA